rnacentral:rRNA from 1 species
AUGUUGGAACCAACCAUAGAGACGAGUGAGGUAGAAAAUGAAGCUGCUAAUGGCACGGACACUGGCUACAUUGAAAGCUGGACUGAAGUUGUUGAUCAACAAACCUACGAUCAAGACUACGAGCCUGUCUAUGUUCUCAAACCAAAAACACGAGAUCAUGCGCAAGCUACACCAUGCGUGCAAGCAGAGCGCUCGUUGACUCGUGAUGUUCCGCCAACAAAAGAUGAAGCCAUUGCCAACACCAAAACUGGGCAUCCACAGUUCUCUUUCAGCAAAACAACUUCAGCAACAAGGGUUCUGCUCAAAACAGUCUCCUCACAGAACCCAUUAUGGAGCCAACAUCCAAUGAGGAAACGCAGCAACAGACCGACCUCAUCACGACUGCUACCACCGCGAGAUCCACUACUCCGUGUGCCUAUCGUCACACCACCAUGUCCAAUACAGCAUGGACACUUGCAAACACUAGCAGAGCUCCGAUCAUACACGCACAGCACAGACAUUCCUGCUCAACUAAUUCCAGUGCUAGGACAGGAAUUCAAUUCAUAUGACGAUGCAUUCAAUUUUUCUAAUGACUACGCCAAACAUGCUGGGUUCGGGAUAAGGAAAUGA